GGCUGGUCCAAUGGUAGUGGGUUAUCAGAACUUAUUCACAUUAGUGUUGCGAACGUUGGUAUACGACCAUCCACUGCUAAACUUGAUGACAUUAA
ensembl:misc_RNA Y_RNA Y RNA